rnacentral:lncRNA from 1 species
CUCUGCGCCUGGCCCGGCGACUGCGGGCGCUGCGGUCCACUGGGUCCGCCUCUUCCCGGCAUGGGUUUCUGCCCAGCUCACCCGCUGUCAGCUGGGGUCCUGCUCUGGUGGGAGGAAGAGGCUCAGACGCUUCCCUGCCCUCUCGCCUCAACCACCUCGAGGCAGCGGCUCCCAGGAUGUGCACUUUGACGACUAAAGCUGAGCCGGCGCCGCCACGACCUUGGGCGGGUGGUCGGCCUCUGCCCUGAGCAGGAAGUAGAAAGUCUCAGCAGACCCUUCCUGAGGGCCGAGCAACAGUGUAGUGGCGUAUUCCACAUAGCAAACAGGUGAAUUCCUUGGAAGAUGAGGGCCAAGUCUUAUUCUUCUCAGUCUCUUCUGCAUCUAGCAGAAGAAUAAUGGUUGCACAGAAAAUCUUGGUUCAGUGGUUGAGUGAAUGAAUGGAUGAACAGGCUCUUGCACACAAAGAAGAGACAUGAUGUAUUUGCAUCCUUCCCUGCUUCAGCCAGGUCCCCAGACAGUCCCGGUGUGCACACUUCCCUGCUUCUGUUCAUGAUGUUCUCUGAACCUGGGAUCACCUUUCCCCUUCCUCUUACCUGCCCGAUCCUACUUGUCCUCCCAGAUUCAGUUUUCUGAAGCUCAGAGGGACACCUUGUAUUGCUGGAUGAUAAAAACAGGAGCAAAGUGAUGAAGUGCUGACAAGGCAACAAUAGAACAUGAGAGAUUCACUGCUGUGUAGGAAGAGAUCUUCGGUGACCAUGUAGCCUGAAGCUCUCAUUUUGUCAUCGAGGGACACCAAAACUCAGAACAGCAGCAGCUCACGCUGCUGAUGCAACACAGGUGAAGAGCACCUUCCCCUCCCCCACCUGUGGGCUGAUUCCCACCACGUGGAUCCCAAGGCCAUCCCAGGAACUCUUUGGAGGGGAGAAGCCCAGUGGAAACUGUCAGGCCUCUGAGCACAAGCCAAGCCAUCGCAUCCCCUGUGACUUGCACGUAUAUGCCCAGAUGGCCUGAAGUAACUGAAGAAUCACAAAAGAAGUGAAAAGGCCCUGCCCCACCUUAACUGAUGACAUUCCACCAUUGUGAUUUGUUCCUGCCCCACCUUCACUGAGUGAUUAACCCUGUGAAUUUCCUUCUCCUGGCUCAGAAGCUCCCCCACUGAGCACCUUGUGACCCCCGCCCCUGCCCACCAGAGAACAACCCCCUUUGACUGUAAUUUUCCAUUACCUUCCCAAAUCCUAUAAAACGGCCCCACCCCUAUCUCCCUUCGCUGACUCUCUUUUCGGACUCAGCCCGCCUGCACCCAGGUGAAAUAAACAGCCAUGUUGCUCACA